AGAGUUUGAUCAUGGCUCAGGAUGAACGCUGGCGGCGUGCCUAACACAUGCAAGUCGAGCGAUUUACUUCGGUAAAGAGCGGCGGACGGGUGAGUAACGCGUGGGUAACCUGCCCUGUACACACGGAUAACAUACCGAAAGGUAUGCUAGUACGAGAUAAUGUGCUUUUAUCGCAUGGUAGAAGUAUCAAAGCUUUUGCGGUACAGGAUGGACCCGCGUCUGAUUAGCUAGUUGGUAAGGUAACGGCUUACCAAGGCGACGAUCAGUAGCCGACCUGAGAGGGUGAUCGGCCACAUUGGAACUGAGACACGGUCCAAACUCCUACGGGAGGCAGCAGUGGGGAAUAUUGCACAAUGGGCGAAAGCCUGAUGCAGCAACGCCGCGUGAGCGAUGAAGGCCUUCGGGUCGUAAAGCUCUGUCCUCAAGGAAGAUAAUGACGGUACUUGAGGAGGAAGCCCCGGCUAACUACGUGCCAGCAGCCGCGGUAAUACGUAGGGGGCUAGCGUUAUCCGGAAUUACUGGGCGUAAAGGGUGCGUAGGUGGUUUCUUAAGUCAGAGGUGAAAGGCUACGGCUCAACCGUAGUAGGCCUUUGAAACUGGGAAACUUGAGUGCAGGAGAGGAGAGUGGAAUUCCUAGUGUAGCGGUGAAAUGCGUAGAUAUUAGGAGGAACACCAGUUGCGAAGGCGGCUCUCUGGACUGUAACUGACACUGAGGCACGAAAGCGUGGGGAGCAAACAGGAUUAGAUACCCUGGUAGUCCACGCCGUAAACGAUGAGUACUAGCUGUCGGAGGUUACCCCCUUCGGUGGCGCAGCU
rnacentral:rRNA from 1 species